UUCCAGAGACACAUCAUUGCCAUCAAUAUCCUUGGCGGAGAACUCAUAGAUGGACUUGGCACUUUGCCAGUCACUCACCUGCGCACACUGGAUGGAGGUGAAGAAGCAGAAAGGAUGGCGCUGGCUACCUGGAGGAAAGAUUGGGUUUGGCCUUCAAACUGGACAAACAUACAUACAUACUGUAUAUGUAUACAUACAUAAAAAAAGUUUCUUUCCUACAUG